rnacentral:sRNA from 1 species
GCCUCGUCGAUCUGCUGCGGGCAGAUGUAGUGGAUGUGAACGUCCAGAGCCCCGGCCGUGAGGAUGCGGCCUUCACCGGCGAUGACUUCCGUUCCCGGCCCGACAAUGAUGGUGACGCCCGGCUGCACAUCCGGGUUGCCGGCCUUGCCGAUGCCGGAGAUCCGCCCGUCCUUCAGGCCCACGUCGGCUUUCACGAUGCCCCAAUGGUCGAUAAUCAGCACAUUGGUGAUCACCGUAUCCACCGCCCCGGCAGAGCGGGGAUGCUGCGAUUGGCCCAUGCCGUCACGGAU